GCAAACAGGAUUAGAUACCCUGGUAGUCCACGCUGUAAACGAUGAAUGUUAAAUAUGGGAAGUUUACUUUCUGUAUUAUAGCUAACGCGUUAAACAUUCCGCCUGGGGACUACGGUCGCAAGACUAAAACUCAAAGGAAUUGACGGGGACCCGCACAAGCGGUGGAGCAUGUGGUUUAAUUCGAUGCAACGCGAAAAACCUUAUCACUCCUUGACAUGGAAAUUAUACCUAUUCGAAGGGAUAGGGUCGGUUCGGCCGGAUUUCACACAGGUGUUGCAUGGCUGUCGUCAGCUCGUGUCGUGAGAUGUUGGGUUAAGUCCCGCAACGAGCGCAACCCUCAUCCUUAGUUACCAUCAGGUAAUGCUGGGGACUUUAAGGAAACUGCCAGUGAUAAACUGGAGGAAGGUGGGGAUGAUGUCAAGUCAUCAUGGCCCUUAUGGAGUGGGCUACACACGUGCUACAAUGGUGGCUACAAUGGGCUGCAAAGUCGCGAGGCUAAGCUAAUCCCUUAAAAGCCAUCUCAGUUCGGAUUGUACUCUGCAACUCGAGUGCAUGAAGUUGGAAUCGCUAGUAAUCGUGGAUCAGCACGCCACGAUGAAUACGUUCUCGGGUCUUGUACACACUGCCCGUCACGCCAUGGGAAUUGGUUUCACUCGAAGCUAACGACCUAACCGCAAGGAGGGAGUUAUUUAAAGUGGGAUCGGUGACUGGGGUG
rnacentral:rRNA from 1 species